rnacentral:rRNA from 1 species
UACGUAGGGGGCAAGCGUUGUCCGGAAUCAUUGGGCGUAAAGCGCGUGUAGGCGGCCCGGUAAGUCCGCUGUGAAAGUCCAGGGCUCAACCCUGGGAUGCCGGUGGAUACUGUCGGUCUCGAGUCCGGAAGAGGCGAGUGGAAUUCCUGGUGUAGCGGUGAAAUGCGCAGAUAUCAGGAGGAACACCGAUGGCGAAGGCAGCUCGCUGGGACGUGACUGACGCUGAGACGCGAAAGCGUGGGGAGCGAACGGG